rnacentral:rRNA from 1 species
GGUGAACGCUGGCGGCGUGCCUAAUACAUGCAAGUCGAGCGAACAGAUGAGGAGCUUGCUCCUCUGACGUUAGCGGCGGACGGGUGAGUAACACGUGGAUAACCUACCUAUAAGACUGGGAUAACUUCGGGAAACCGGAGCUAAUACCGGAUAAUAUAUUGAACCGCAUGGUUCAAUAGUGAAAGACGGUUUUGCUGUCACUUAUAGAUGGAUCCGCGCCGCAUUAGCUAGUUGGUAAGGUAACGGCUUACCAAGGCAACGAUGCGUAGCCGACCUGAGAGGGUGAUCGGCCACACUGGAACUGAGACACGGUCCAGACUCCUACGGGAGGCAGCAGUAGGAAAUCUUCCGCAAUGGGCGAAAGCCUGACGGAGCAACGCCGCGUGAGUGAUGAAGGUCUUCGGAUCGUAAAACUCUGUUAUUAGGGAAGAACAAAUGUGUAAGUAACUAUGCACGUCUUGACGGUACCUAAUCAGAAAGCCACGGCUAACUACGUG